UUAAGCGACUAAGCGUACACGGUGGAUGCCCUGGCAGUCAGAGGCGAUGAAGGACGUGCUAAUCUGCGAAAAGCGUCGGUAAGGUGAUAUGAACCGUUACAGCCGGCGAUGUCCGAAUGGGGAAACCCAGUGUGAUUCGUCACACUAUCGUUAACUGAAUACAUAGGUUAACGAGGCGAACCGGGGGAACUGAAACAUCUAAGUACCCCGAGGAAAAGAAAUCAACCGAGAUUCCCCCAGUAGCGGCGAGCGAACGGGGAGCAGCCCAGAGUCUGAAUCAGCUUGUGUGUUAGUGGAACGGUCUGGAAAGUCCGACGGUACAGGGUGAUAGUCCCGUACACCAAAAUGCACAGGCUGUGAACUCGAAGAGUAGGGCGGGACACGUGGUAUCCUGUCUGAAUAUGGGGGGACCAUCCUCCAAGGCUAAAUACUCCUGACUGACCGAUAGUGAACCAGUACCGUGAGGGAAAGGCGAAAAGAACCCCGGCGAGGGGAGUGAAAAAGAACCUGAAACCGUGUACGUACAAGCAGUGGGAGCACCUUCGGGUGUGACUGCGUACCUUUUGUAUAAUGGGUCAGCGACUUAUAUUCUGUAGCAAGGUUAACCGUAUAGGGGAGCCGCAGGGAAACCGAGUCUUAACUGGGCGUUAAGUUGCAGGGUAUAGACCCGAAACCCGGUGAUCUAGCCAUGGGCAGGUUGAAGGUUGGGUAACACUAACUGGAGGACCGAACCGACUAAUGUUGAAAAAUUAGCGGAUGACUUGUGGCUGGGGGUGAAAGGCCAAUCAAACCGGGAGAUAGCUGGUUCUCCCCGAAAGCUAUUUAGGUAGCGCCUCGUGAAUUCAUCUUCGGGGGUAGAGCACUGUUUCGGCUAGGGGGUCAUCCCGACUUACCAACCCGAUGCAAACUACGAAUACCGAAGAAUGUUAUCACGGGAGACACACGGCGGGUGCUAACGUCCGUCGUGAAGAGGGAAACAACCCAGACCGCCAGCUAAGGUCCCAAAGUCACAGUUAAGUGGGAAACGAUGUGGGAAGGCACAGACAGCCAGGAUGUUGGCUUAGAAGCAGCCAUCAUUUAAAGAAAGCGUAAUAGCUCACUGGUCGAGUCGGCCUGCGCGGAAGAUGUAACGGGGCUAAACUGUGCACCGAAGCUGCGGCAGCGACACUAUGUGUUGUUGGGUAGGGGAGCGUUCUGUAAGCCUGCGAAGGUGGCCUGUGAGGGUUGCUGGAGGUAUCAGAAGUGCGAAUGCUGACAUAAGUAACGAUAAUGCGGGUGAAAAGCCCGCACGCCGGAAGACCAAGGGUUCCUGUCCAACGUUAAUCGGGGCAGGGUGAGUCGACCCCUAAGGCGAGGCCGAAAGGCGUAGUCGAUGGGAAACAGGUUAAUAUUCCUGUACUUGGUGUUACUGCGAAGGGGGGACGGAGAAGGCUAUGUUAGCCGGGCGACGGUUGUCCCGGUUUAAGCAUGUAGGCGGAGGUUCCAGGUAAAUCCGGUACCUUAUUAACGCUGAGGUGUGAUGACGAGGCACUACGGUGCUGAAGUAACAAAUGCCCUGCUUCCAGGAAAAGCCUCUAAGCAUCAGGUAACAUUAAAUCGUACCCCAAACCGACACAGGUGGUCAGGUAGAGAAUACCAAGGCGCUUGAGAGAACUCGGGUGAAGGAACUAGGCAAAAUGGUGCCGUAACUUCGGGAGAAGGCACGCUGAUAUGUAGGUGAAGCCCCUGCGGGUGGAGCUGAAAUCAGUCGAAGAUACCAGCUGGCUGCAACUGUUUAUUAAAAACACAGCACUGUGCAAACACGAAAGUGGACGUAUACGGUGUGACGCCUGCCCGGUGCCGGAAGGUUAAUUGAUGGGGUUAUCCGUAAGGAGAAGCUCUUGAUCGAAGCCCCGGUAAACGGCGGCCGUAACUAUAACGGUCCUAAGGUAGCGAAAUUCCUUGUCGGGUAAGUUCCGACCUGCACGAAUGGCGUAAUGAUGGCCAGGCUGUCUCCACCCGAGACUCAGUGAAAUUGAACUCGCUGUGAAGAUGCAGUGUACCCGCGGCAAGACGGAAAGACCCCGUGAACCUUUACUAUAGCUUGACACUGAACAUUGAGCCUUGAUGUGUAGGAUAGGUGGGAGGCUUUGAAGCGUGGACGCCAGUCUGCGUGGAGCCAACCUUGAAAUACCACCCUUUAAUGUUUGAUGUUCUAACGUUGGCCCCUGACCGGGGUUGCGGACAGUGUCUGGUGGGUAGUUUGACUGGGGCGGUCUCCUCCCAAAGAGUAACGGAGGAGCACGAAGGUUAGCUAAUCCUGGUCGGACAUCAGGAGGUUAGUGCAAUGGCAUAAGCUAGCUUGACUGCGAGCGUGACGGCGCGAGCAGGUGCGAAAGCAGGUCAUAGUGAUCCGGUGGUUCUGAAUGGAAGGGCCAUCGCUCAACGGAUAAAAGGUACUCCGGGGAUAACAGGCUGAUACCGCCCAAGAGUUCAUAUCGACGGCGGUGUUUGGCACCUCGAUGUCGGCUCAUCACAUCCUGGGGCUGAAGUAGGUCCCAAGGGUAUGGCUGUUCGCCAUUUAAAGUGGUACGCGAGCUGGGUUUAGAACGUCGUGAGACAGUUCGGUCCCUAUCUGCCGUGGGCGCUGGAGAAUUGAGGGGGGCUGCUCCUAGUACGAGAGGACCGGAGUGGACGCAUCACUGGUGUUCGGGUUGUCAUGCCAAUGGCAUUGCCCGGUAGCUAAAUGCGGAAGAGAUAAGUGCUGAAAGCAUCUAAGCACGAAACUUGCCCCGAGAUGAGUUCUCCCUGAGACUUUAAGUCUCCUGAAGGAACGUUAAAGACGAUGACGUUGAUAGGUCGGGUGUGUAAGCGUAGCGAUACGUUGAGCUAACCGAUACUAAUGAACCGUGAGGCUUAACCU
rnacentral:rRNA from 1 species